ACAGGGUAGGAGCAGAGCAGGCCUUCCGCCUUUGCAGUCUUUCUUGGAAAGAGUUGGUCUCAUCUUGGCCACACUGGUGUUCUCCUUUUAGCCUUUUCUUGAUCCCACGGGGUCUCUCCUACACUUCGUAGAGAAGACUUCGUUUCAGAAGCAGGGUCUUUUCCGUUUUCUUUGUUUUGUUCCCCUUUUUCCCUUUCCUCUUCGACCUUGUUUGCACGAGGAACGAGUGAAUGCAAGUGAUUUUUCCUGUAGUGGAACUUGAUGGUGCUGUUGGCUUUUUGAGGUGGGUUUCUAGUCUUCUUUUUACUCUCUCUCUCUUUUCAUCUUGGCUGUUCCAUGAAUGGCCCAUCAUCUCGGCUUCCUUCAUGUGGAUUUUUUGGGUGACUGGACCGUGAUGGGUACUGCCUUUUUCGCACAUUGUUGAUGACGACUGAUUCUAUACGCUUUGAUGUGGCUGUGAAUGGUCAAUGAAUGACUUUGUUCCUCUUGCGCCCUCCCCACAUUUUGUCUGCUUUUCCAUGACGCAGAUGGGCGGAUCAAUCUAUCGCAUGGUUUCUUAGUUUCUUACGGGUGCGGCUUUGUUGGAGACUCUGUUUCUGGUUGUUGGAUUGUGGAAGAUGACAAUGCUUCAGUUGUCCUCUUGGAGGAGAGAUGGUGAGGUUGCUAACAGUGUGUUGGAUCUAGAUUGUGGUACUGUGAUCAGUAAGGAUGAGAUUCCAUGUGGUGAAAAGGUGGAUUUGGGAAUGAUGAUUGAGGAACUGGAAGGCAUUGAGGUGCCUACUGUGUUCAUCUGCCCCAUUUCGCUGGAUCCCAUGCUGGACCCUGUGACCCUCUGCACUGGUCAGACAUACGAGAGAUGCAACAUCUUGAAGUGGCUCUCCAUGGGGCACUUCAUCUGCCCUACCACAAUGCAGGAGCUUUGGGAUGACUCCGUCACUCCCAACAGGACCCUUUCUCAGCUUAUUUACAGUUGGUAUUCUCAGAAGUAUGUGUUGCACAAGAAAAGGUCUGAGGAUGUGCAGGGCAGGGUGACUGAGCUGCUGGAAGCCCUCAGGAAGGUCAAGGGGCAGGCGAGGAUUCAGGCCCUCAAGGAGCUUCACCAAGUUGUCGCUGCCCAUGUGUCCGCCAAGAAGGCGGUGGCUGACGAGGGCGGCAUUGCGCUGGUGUUGUCUCUUCUUGGCCCUUUCACUUCUCAUGCAGUUGGCUCGGAAGCCAUCGCCAUUCUGGUGAACUUGGAUCUUGAUUCGGAGGCGAAGACGAACCUGAUGCAGCCCGCGAAGUUCUCUUUGUUGGUGGAUAUGCUGAAUGAAGGGACAGUGGAGACGAAGAUUAGUUGCACCAGGCUGAUUGAGCUGAUGGUGGAUGAGAGGGAUUUCAGGUCAGAGAUGGUGUCCAGCCUCAGCUUGCUGGUUGGUUUGCUUAGACUGGCAAAAGAUAAAAGAUACCCGAACGGCAUUGCUGCAGGCCUUCGCUUGUUGAAGACUGUCUGCUCAUAUAAGCAGGUUAAGAUUUUGGUUGUUAGCAUAGGAGCAGUAUCUCAGUUGAUGGAUCUCUUGUCGUGUUUGAAUUCGGAGGUUUUGGAGGAUGUCCUUUUCAUACUUGAACUACUCUCUUCGAUACCAGAAGGGCGGACAGCCCUGAAGGAUUGCCCUUGCACAAUACAGAAUCUAGUGAGGCUACUUAUGAGAGUUUCAGAAAAUUGUACUCAAUAUGCUCUAUCAAUCUUGUGGGAAGUUUGUAUGCUAGCUCCAGAGGAGUGUGCCUCUCUUGCUGUGGAGGCUGGAUUGGCGGCAAAGCUUCUGCUUGUGAUACAGAGUGGUUGUAACCCGGUAGUGAAGCAGCGAUCUGCAGAGCUGCUGAAGCUAUGCAGUCUUAACUACACGGCGACCAUUUUCAUUUCCAAGUGCAAACUUACGAGAACAAUGCAGUGAGGAUUUCUCGGUGUUUUGACAGCAAGUUGGCCUUUACCAUGUCUGUUCUUGGAGACUGUGAAUUGAUCUGCACCCGUGAAGCGUUUGUGUGUGACGAAAUGGUAAGAAGGCCCCCGUUACCAUGAGGAUGGUCGCUGCCCUGCUUCUGCUUCUCUUGCGAGGUGAGUUUUCUGCUGUGCUUCUUGUUGGAUUGGUGAAGUAUUGUAAAUUAGUUCAUGGAUGGGAUUAAGGGGAAGGACAGGUGCACUCUACCAUGUGGAAGAACGGAAGAGCUAUGAUAAAGACAGCAUGAUAAUUCAAAAUAAAAACAAGAAAGCAUUGAAGCUUUGCAGUAAAAUAACUGUGGUUCUUAUUUGUUAUCCAACAGAAAGUUGGUCAACUGAUGAGCAUUUCAUCAAUAUAAUCCUCGCCUGGGGACAUUUCCUUCGAAGCUGUGCCUUUCCAAAUCUGAAAUGCCUUCCUGGCCAACAAUGAUGCUGUGGUCGUCCAUUCGGGGUUGUGUUCCCAAAAUUUUAUAGUAAAGACUGUAAAGGAAUUCAGAUCCUUUGCGUUGUAUCUCUCUGUAGAGUUGAGGCACUAAUGAUGCCAUUAUUCAGCUUGAGUUUUUGCUGAACUCAUGAAUUGAAAAGU